rnacentral:rRNA from 1 species
UACGGGGGGGGCAAGCGUUGUUCGGAAUUAUUGGGCGUAAAGGGCUCGUAGGCGGUCUGUCGCGUCGGUAGUGAAAACUCAGGGCUUAACCCUGAGCCUGCUUCCGAUACGGGCAGACUAGAGGUAUGCAGGGGAGAAUGGAAUUCCUGGUGUAGCGGUGAAAUGCGCAGAUAUCAGGAGGAACACCAGUGGCGAAGGCGGUCUCUGGGCAUUACCUGACGCUGAGGAGCGAAAGUGUGGGGAGCGAACAGG